CUUGGAACCCCCAAGACCCACUCUAUGAAACUUGAUCUUGAUCCGGAAUUAACAUUAAACUAAGCUUUGACAAGAAUCACGUAUAAGCACUUGAAACCAACCACACAAUCAAAGAAAAUCAUAUCACACACUUGCACCAAGGAUUAUAGUGGUUCGGCCAAUUUCUUACCUACAUCCACUGUGAAAAGAGAAACAAGCUUUUACUGAUUUUCAGAGAACACGUUACAUGUAUGAAGAGUGAAUACAACUUAAUAGAAUUGCCCUUAGUAACAGAGCCUAUGACCUUUUAUACUCCUCUCAGAACCCGAUCAAAGAGCCCCCAGAAGUCAGCUCACGCUCCUGGGUUCCAGCCAAGAUGAUGAUCAGCUGCCUCCCGCGUGAUCUAACCGAAAUAACCAAUUCUUGAAUUUGCUCUGGGACACUUGUCAAAUGCUCAUGCAAUCUGCUAGCUAAAACGCAAAUGUGGCUGCCGUUUGAAUUAGUGAAUCAUGUGAUGCAUCACGUGCAUUACUAAUGCAUCCAGCCGACAUAACGUUUAUUCCAUUCAGCUGUUCUGAACUCUAAUGCAUGACAAGUCGUUAUGCUUUAUGACAAACAGUUGACAUGUCAUACAAAUCCCCAAGUUCAGAUUUAAGCUUCACAACUCCAACAGUUGCAAACAAUGCUGCAUCAAGUUACUGAAUUUUCAGUUUAAAAACUUAAGUGGUGCACCUCCAACAAAAAGU
rnacentral:lncRNA from 1 species